UUUUGUUACAUCAUUUCAGGGGAAGAGUCAGCUGCCCUGCUCCUCUGUUCCAUGAUCCAUGGCUUUGCCAAUACUCAGUCAAUUUGGCAAAUGAGAUGGGGCAUCAUUUCCUGAUGGAGACACCUUUUGCUGCUAUGAUAUCUGGGGUUAUCAACAGAGUGAAAUAUCAUAAAGAAGUAAACAAGACUAAACCAGCAAUGCCAACUGCAGGGAGAAAACUUCUACUCAAGCAUCAGAGUUAGGUCUAUUUAUCUGCAUGGUAUUGGGUACUCAGCCAGUGAUAUUUCAAGGUAUGCCAGCAUUUUAGCCUUUAAAGCCUAAUUGCACUGAUCAUUUUACCAGGUAGAAUUUCAAUUCUUAUAACUAGAUCUUGGGCAAGUUACUUCCUGGAUUACUGCUCUCAAAAUUCCCCAUGCUUGCAGUACAGAAACAGAAGUGAACCCGGUUCAGCAAGACCUCUCCUUUCCCAGCCUCCUGGUUUAGCAACACCGUCUGCUGGAGCGCAACAGUUAUAAACAUGUUCACAAACUACUUUAUGUGAACCCAGAGUCAGCAGUGCAGUGACAGAGGAAACCUUCCAGAACGUCAUGGGAUUAUAUCUGGAUUGAUUUGUUUUAACCCUCAAUAUAGUGACCAUUAAGAGUAAUAAAAAUUACUUUCAA